rnacentral:rRNA from 1 species
CCUACGGGAGGCAGCAGUGAGGAAUAUUGGUCAAUGGGCGUAAGCCUGAACCAGCCAAGUCGCGUGAGGGAUGAAGGUUCUAUGGAUCGUAAACCUCUUUUAUAAGGGAAUAAAGUGCGGGACGUGUCCCGUUUUGUAUGUACCUUAUGAAUAAGGAUAGGCUAACCCAGUGCCAGCAGCCGCGGUAAUACGGAGGAUCCGAGCGUUAACCGGAUUUGUUGGGUUUAAAGGGUGCGUAGGGGGGUUUUUAAGUCAGCGGUGAAAGUCAGUGGCUCAACCAUAGAAUCGCCGUUGAUACUGGGAGGCUUGAGUAUGUUUGAGGCAGGCGGAAUGCGUGGUGUAGCGGUGAAAUGCUUAGAUAUCACGCAGAACCCCGAUUGCGAAGGCAGCCUACCAAGCCAUGACUGACGCUGAUGCACGAAAGCGUGGGGAGCAAACAGGAUUAGAUACCCCGGUAGUC